rnacentral:rRNA from 1 species
AGUGAACGCUGGCGGUAGGCCUAACACAUGCAAGUCGAACGGCAGCACAGUAAGAGCUUGCUCUUACGGGUGGCGAGUGGCGGACGGGUGAGGAAUACAUCGGAAUCUACUUUUUCGUGGGGGAUAACGUAGGGAAACUUACGCUAAUACCGCAUACGACCUACGGGUGAAAGCAGGGGAUCUUCGGACCUUGCGCGAUUGAAUGAGCCGAUGUCGGAUUAGCUAGUUGGCGGGGUAAAGGCCCACCAAGGCGACGAUCCGUAGCUGGUCUGAGAGGAUGAUCAGCCACACUGGAACUGAGACACGGUCCAGACUCCUACGAGAGGCAGCAGUGGGGAAUAUUGGACAAUGGGCGCAAGCUUGAUCCAGCCAUACCGCGUGAGUGAAGAAGGCCUUCGGGUUGUAAAGCCCUUUUGUUGGGAAAGAAAAGCAGCAGGUUAAUACCCCGCUGUUCUGACGGUACCCAAAGAAUAAGCACCGGCUAACUUCGUG